rnacentral:tRNA from 1 species
UCUCUGGUGGUCCAGUGGUUAGGAGUCUGCACUUUCACUGAGGAAAGCCCCAGUUCAAUUCUGGGUUGGGGAA